GACUGCGAGUCGAGCGUUUCUAGCUAUGUUGAGACGCGGCAUACGGCUCAGUAACACGUGGCUAACCUACCCUCAGGACGGGGACAAACCCGGGAAACUGGGGCUAAUAUCCGAUAGGCGAGGAAUCCUGGAAUGGUUCUUCACCCAAAGGACAUUGGAAACAUGCUUUCUCUGUCGCCUGGGGAUGGGGCCGCGACCGAUCAGGUUGUUGGUGAGGUAAUGGCUCACCAAGCCUUUAACCGGUACGGGCCAUGAGAGUGGUAGCCCGGAGAUGGGUACUGAGACAAGGACCCAGGCCCUACGGGGCGCAGCAGUCGCGAAAACUCCGCAAUGCACGAAAGUGUGACGGGGCUACCCCGAGUGCCGUCCGCUGAGGAUGGCUUUUCCUUGGUGUAACUAGCCGGGGGAAUAAGGAGAGGGCAAGACUGGUGUCAGCCGCCGCGGUAAUACCAGCUCUCCGAGUGGUAGGGAUGAUUAUUGGGCUUAAAGCGUCCGUAGCCGGCUUAGCAAGUUUCCUGUUAAAUUCAGCGACCUAAUCGUUGAGCCGCGGGAAAUACUACUAGGCUAGGAGGCGGGAGAGGUCGACGGUACUUCUGGGGUAGGGGUGAAAUCCUAUAAUCCCGGGAGGACCACCAGUGGCGAAGGCUGUCGACUAGAACGCGCUCGACGGUGAGGGACGAAAGCUGGGGGAGCGAACCGGAUUAGAUACCCGGGUAGUCCCAGCUGUAAACGAUGCGGGCUAGGUGUUGGGGUGGCUACGUGCCACUUCAGUGCCGCAGGAAGCCAUUAAGCCCGCCGCCUGGGGAGUACGGCCGCAAGGCUGAAACUUAA
rnacentral:rRNA from 1 species